rnacentral:lncRNA from 1 species
CCAGCCUCCCAGAGUCAGUCUCCAGGGGCACAGUCAUUCUCCACGAUCCCCAGCAAGCCUACCUACCCACCCUUCCAGAGCCCUGGCAGAAACUCCAUGUCCCACCUUGCAACCACAGCCAUCUGAAGACCUGGUGUCCAGUGGUCCCGAGGACUGUGGCUUCUUCCCCAAUGGGGCCUUUGACCACUGCCUGAGUCACAUCCCCUCCAUCUACACAGACACCUGAAGGAGCCCCACUCUACCUGCCUGCCCAGCUCCUGAUACUACUUUGCCUACUUGCCAUCAGCCCUGGUGCUUCCUUACAAGGGGCAGAGAGGCCACACCACAGGGGCACUUCCCUACCUGGAGGGCUGUCUUGUCUUGGAGCUGCCUGCCCGGAACUGUGGUCCUCUGACAGUCCCUUGACUGUAUCUUCCUCUCUCUCCCUAAGGUUCUCAAAUCACAGACCUCGUGUAUAUACAAUGUACAGGACCUCUUUCCCGUCUCCCUGCAAGUUUUAUAUUUUUGGUUUUACAAGAAAAACAUUAAAAACUGGAAACUAG